AAAAAAACCUCAAGGGAAAAAAAACCCCAACAAAACAAACCUGUGUGUAUUUGUUGUGACCAAGAGUCACACAAUUCAAGCAAAGUGACCUAUUGCACAUGUAAUUUAAAGACGAUGCGUUUUGUUAAGCCCUAACUACUGCAGUAGGCAAAGUUUAAAGUAGAUCUGCAGAUCUUCAAAGUGUACUUGCACAAGGUGUUAAUGCAGCUGUGUGUUUAGAAUGGACUAUGCAUUGAGGGAAGGAUGGAGAACUUAUCUUGACCUUAACUGUCCAUUCCUUGCAUCCCUAGGAAGGAGAUUAGGAUCACAGGAAGAGGUCUGCUGUAGUAGUUUUGCAUAUUUUGCAGAAAAGACCCCAAAUCAACACAGCAUCUUCUGAAGUGAGAGUUACAUUUGAAGGGGGAAAAGAGGCAGUCUGGAAAUUAAAUAAUGCAAGUAAAGUCUUUUGAAGCAAUGUUAACUGUGCAAACAAAAGCCUCAAUAUAAGUAGUAAUAUCUACACUCAAAUGGUGAAUGUCAAUAGUGUUCAUAGGUCUAACUCCAUCAAUAUUCCAUUAAUGAAACUUUAACUUUUCUCUGAACUUUGUGAUGAGAAGAAUUUUUCACUAAGAAUAACUUUCAUUUUCAUUCCAUUUUGUGAACCACUGUUUUGUCUCGAGCUCUUUGUACUUCCCAUCUUUGAUGUGUCGCUCUUCUUUUCGAAUUCUUACAGCAUGAUACCGGGGGACACUGUCUUCGUACCUGGAACGCUGGAAGAAUCCGCACUACAGGAGAGAAGAAAAAGAACAGAUUAGAUUUAAGUUGCUGCCAAAGUACUACAAUCACAGAGAUAAGUUCUGCACAGUGUUGAUUACCAUCUCUCAAACAUAUGUGUACUGCUAAAACAUAAGACUAAAAACCACUGCAACAAAUCAACAUUUGCUGAAGAAAUAAGAAGCUUUUUAGACCAAGAAAAGCUACUAUAAAGUAGGUCCACAGCUGGCAGUGAAGACCAGAAAGAAGUCUCUACUGAAAUAUGUUUGUUGACUACCGCACAGGAAAUCAGAACUAUCCUGUGAGAAGUAACCUGCAGCAAAUAGGAGCUCCUCAGCAAAGCUAAUUGCUGCAGUUUCUCCAAAAGAAAGUAAGUGACAGAUACAAGAGGUGAAGAAGAAUAUCCUAAGUAACCUUGUGCUAUCCUGUAACAGCACAUACGAACUAUGUCUCUUAAAAGGACUGCCCUGUUAUGCUUGCAACCAUCAUUUGUUGUAAAAGUGCCAAAGGUAGUUAAAAAAUAGGUACUUAGCUUUUUAUUUUACAAAUUGCCUUUUGUGAUACUGUCAGUUUAAUGGCAUUUCUAAUGCUACUGGGAACAAAGCCCUGCUAAAACAUUUGUAGGUAGUUCACAUGAAAUUUUACACCUAACUGCAGAAGCUCCCUUUAGCUGUAUCCAUCCACAUCAAAGUAAAUACAGGCUCUGAUUCAAGCUUUGCACAGAGCUCAAAAUACUUCAUCUUGUGAGGAUGUGGAAACUGAAAAAUUUUGUCACAAGUCUUCCCAUGUAACCAUUUUAAUUCCAAAUAUUGCAAAACUGAGACUCAAAGGCAGUGUAUGGUUUGGGCAGUUUGCUCUAUUUUGAGACCCAAAUAGAAAGCAUAAUACUUAAUAAUUUGCUUAGUUAUUAUGCUGUCUUGUCGGUUGUAGACCAGGAAAUAUAAAAUAACCAGAUGAGUAAGAACUCACCUUCCAUAGUAAGAAUACCAACAGUGCAAGCAUCAAUAUGCCAGCAAAAAUAGCCACUGCGAUGAUCCACCAAGGUACUCCUGUAUAAAGGGCUACUGGUUUUGCAGGAAAGACAGUAACACGCACCUAAAGGAGAGAAAUGCAUCAAGAUGGAAAGAGCACGUCAGAAGUGUUCAUGUAUAAUAUACUGUUACAGUUUAUAUAGUCUUAUCUCUAACAAUAUGCCUUCUCUCUCUCACCUACAAAAUGUUUUUGAAGAAAAAGUUCCUGCUGGUGUUAUUUAAAUAUGGCAGUGAACUUAUCCAACCCAAUUAAAAGGUAAAAACAAUUGAUAAUUCAAAACUUGGUUAAGAAGUUAAGCUUUUAGCUACUUUUAAAAUGUGGG